rnacentral:rRNA from 1 species
AACGAACGCUGGCGGCGUGGAUAAGACAUGCAAGUCGAGCGGGGAUCCACUGGUAGCAAUAUCCGUGGAUUUCAGCGGCGAAAGGGUGCGUAACACGUGGCUAACCUACCUCCGAGUGGGGGAUAACUCGGCGAAAGCCGAAUUAAUACCGCAUGUGGCCGAAAGGCCAAAGCCGGGGAUCGCAAGACCUGGCGCUGGGAGAUGGGGCUGCGGCCUAUCAGCUAGUUGGCGGGGUAACGGCCCACCAAGGCUUAGACGGGUAGCUGGUCUGAGAGGACGACCAGCCACACUGGAACUGAGACACGGUCCAGACACCUACGGGUGGCAGCAGUCGAGGAUUUUUCUCAAUGGGGGCAACCCUGAAGGAGCGACGCCGCGUGGGGGAUGAAGGUCUUCGGAUUGUAAACCCCUGUCAUCUGGGAACAAUGUUCCACACCCAACACGUGUGGAAUUGAUAGUACCGGAAGGGGAAGCCGUGGCUAACUCCGUGCCAGCAGCCGCCGUAAAAC